rnacentral:rRNA from 1 species
UACAGAGGUCUCAAGCGUUGUUCGGAUUCAUUGGGCGUAAAGGGUGUGUAGGUGGCGCCGUUAGUCGGGUGUGAAAUUUCGGAGCUUAACUCCGAAACUGCAUUCGAUACUGGCGUGCUUGAGGACUGGAGAGGAGACUGGAAUUCCUGGUGUAGCGGUGAAAUGCGCAGAUAUCAGGAGGAACACCGACGGCGAAGGCAGCUUACUGGGCCGAUACUGACGCUGAGGAGCGAAAGCGUGGGGAGCGAACAGG